AUUGAACGCUGGCGGCAUGCCUUACACAUGCAAGUCGAACGGCAGCACGGGAGCAAUCCUGGUGGCGAGUGGCGGACGGGUGAGUAAAGUAUCGGAACGUGCCCAGUCGUGGGGGAUAACGUAGCGAAAGUUACGCUAAUACCGCAUACGAUCUAUGGAUGAAAGCGGGGGAUCGCAAGACCUCGCGCGAUUGGAGCGGCAGAUAUCAGAUUAGGUAGUUGGUGGGGUAAAGGCUCACCAAGCCGACGAUCUGUAGCUGGUCUGAGAGGACGACCAGCCACACUGGGACUGAGACACGGCCCAGACUCCUACGGGAGGCAGCAGUGGGGAAUUUUGGACAAUGGGCGAAAGCCUGAUCCAGCCAUGCCGCGUGCAGGAUGAAGGCCUUCGGGUUGUAAACUGCUUUUGUACGGAACGAAAAGGUUUGGCCUAAUAAGCUGAGCUCAUGACGGUACCGUAAGAAUAAGCACCGGCUAACUACGUGCCAGCAGCCGCCGUAA
rnacentral:rRNA from 1 species